rnacentral:rRNA from 1 species
GACGAACGCUGGCGGCGUGCUUAACACAUGCAAGUCGAACGGAAAGGCCCUGCUUUUGUGGGGUGCUCGAGUGGCGAACGGGUGAGUAACACGUGAGUAACCUGCCCUUGACUUUGGGAUAACUUCAGGAAACUGGGGCUAAUACCGGAUAGGAGCUCCUGCUGCAUGGUGGGGGUGGGAAAGGUUCGGCGGUUGGGGAUGGACUCGCGGCUUAUCAGCUUGUUGGUGGGGUAGUGGCUUACCAAGGCUUUGACGGGUAGCAGGCCUGAGAGGGUGACCGGCCACAUUGGGACUGAGAUACGGCCCAGCCUCCUACGGGAGGCAGCAGUGGGGAAUAUUGCACAAUGGGCGGAAGCAUGAUGCAGCAACGCCGCGUGCGGGAUGACGGCCUUCGGGUUGUAAACCGCUUUCGCCUGUGACGAAGUGUGAGUGACGGUAAUGGGUAAAGAAGCACCGGCUAACUACGUG